GGUUGUGACUCAGUGGUAGAGUGCUUGCCUAGUAUGCGUGAGGCACUGGGUUCAAUUCCUGGCACCA
rnacentral:tRNA from 1 species